rnacentral:rRNA from 1 species
UCGAUGGAGAGUUUGAUCCUGGCUCAGGACGAACGCUGGCGGCGUGCCUAAUGAAUGCGAGUCGAACGAGAUCCAGGUGGAGUCUUCGGACAAUACCUGGUGACAGUGGCGAACGGGUGAGUAACACGUGGGUAACCUGCCCUUCAGUCGGGCAUAACAGGGGGAAACCCCUGCUAAUUCCCGAUAUGCUUACGCGGCACAAGUCGCGUAAGGAAAGCUCCGGCGCUGAAGGAUGGACCCGCGGUCGAUUAGCUAGUUGGUGAGGUAACGGCUCACCAAGGCGAUGAUCGAUAGCCGACCUGAGAGGGUGACCGGCCACACUGGGACUGAGACAUGGUCCAGACUCCUACGGGAGUUAGCAUCAGGGAAUCUUGCACAAUGAGCGCAAGCUCGAUGCAGCGACGCCGCGUGGGUGAUGAAGGUCUGCGGAUCGUAAAGCCCUGUCAGGAGGGAAGAAGUUCUGACUGUACCUCCAGAGGAAGCCCCGGCUAACUACGUGCCAGCAGCCGCGGUAACACGUAGGGGGCCAGCGUUGUCCGGAAUUACUGGGCGUAAAGCGCGCGCAGGCGGUCUAGUAAGCAGCGGGUGAAAUUCCGGGGCUCAACCCCGGCGCUGCUCGCUGAACUGCUAGACUAGAGUACGGGAGAGGGCAGUGGAAUUGCCGGUGUAGCGGUGGAAUGCGUAAAUAUCGGCAAGAACACCAGUGGCGAAGGCUGCUGCCUGGAACGUUACUGACGCUGAGGCGCGAAAGCUAGGGGAGCAAACGGGAUUAGAUACCCCGGUAGUCCUAGCCGUAAACGAUGGACACUAGGUGUUGGGAGCAUCGACCCUCCCAGUGCUGUUAUGCUAACGCGUUAAGUGUCCCGCCUGGGGAGUACGGCCGCAAGGUUGAAACUCAAAGGAAUUGACGGGGGCCCGCACAAGCGGUGGAGCAUGCGGGUUAAUAGGAUGAUACGCCUAGAACCUUACCAGGGCUUGACAUCGUAGGGACAGCCUGUGAAAGCAGGUCUCCUGGGUAACCCCCAGGUCCUAUGACAGAUGGUGCAUGGUUGUCGUCAGCUCGUGCCGUGAGGUGUUGGGUUAAGUCCCGCAACGAGCGCAACCCUCGCCAGAUGUUGCCAUCAGUUCGGCUGGGCACUCUUCUGGGACUGCCUGAGUAAUCAGGAGGAAGGAGAGGAUGACGUCAAAUCUGCAUGCCUCUUACGCCCUGGGCUGCACGCGUGCUACAAUGGCGAGUACAAAGGGUAGCUAAGCCGCGAGGUGGAGCCAAUCCCCCAAAACUCGUCCCAGUUCGGAUCGGAUGUCUGCAACUCGACUCCGUGAAGGUGGAAUCGCUAGUAACCGUGGAUCAGCAACGCCACGGUGAAUACGUUCCCGGGCCUUGUACACACCGCCCGUCAAGUCACGAAAGCAGGUAGUACCCGAAGUCCACUGCGGUGGCCGAAGGUAAGACCUGUGAUUGGGACUAAGUCGUAACAAGGUAGCCGUACCGGAAGGUGCGGCUGGAUCACCUCCUUU